rnacentral:rRNA from 1 species
GUGAGUAACACGUGGGUAAUCUGCCCUGCACUCUGGGAUAAGCCUUGGAAACGGGGUCUAAUACCGGAUAGGACACGUGGCCGCAUGGUCUGCGUGUGGAAAGUUCCGGCGGUGCAGGUUGAGCCCGCGGCCUAUCAGCUUGUUGGUGGGGUGAUGGCCUACCAAGGCGACGACGGGUAGCCGGCCUGAGAGGGUGACCGGCCACACUGGGACUGAGACACGGCCCAGACUCCUACGGGAGGCAGCAGUGGGGAAUCUUGCGCAAUGGGCGAAAGCCUGACGCAGCAACGCCGCGUGGGGGAUGACGGCCUUCGGGUUGUAAACCUCUUUCGACAUCGACGAAGCCUUCGGGUGACGGUAGGUGUAGAAGAAGCACCGGCUAACUACGUGCCAGCAGCCGCGGUAAUACGUAGGGUGCGAGCGUUGUCCGGAAUUAUUGGGCGUAAAGAGCUCGUAGGCGGUUUGUCGCGUCGGCCGUGAAAACCUGCCGCUUAACGGUGGGCGUGCGGUCGAUACGGGCAGACUUGAGU